rnacentral:rRNA from 1 species
GGAGAACGGCUGGCGGGCGUGGAUUAGGCAUGCAAGUCGAACGGUAGGAUACCUUCGGGUAUCUGAGAGUGGCGAACGGGUGAGUAACACGUAGGUGAUCUACCCUCAAGAUUGGGACAACCCAGGGAAACUUGGGCUAAUACCGGAUGAAAGCAGCAGUGAUGUUGUUUGAAAGGUGGCGUAAGCUGCCGUUUGGGGAUGAGCCUGCGCUCUAUUAGUUAGUUGGCGGGUAAAGGCCCACCAAGGCGAUGAUAGAUAGGCGGCCUUAACGGGUGGUCACCCACACUGGGAUUGAGAUACGGCCCAGACUCCUACGGGAGGCAGCAGUCGAGAAUAGUCUACAAUGGCCGAAAGGCUGAUAGUGCGACGCCGCGUGAACGAAGAAGCCCUUCGGGGUGUAAAGUUCUUUUAUAUGUGAGCAGUGCUUUCUAUGUGAACAGCAUGGGGAGAGAGAUAUUAGCAUAUGAAUAAGCAACGGCUAACUCCGUG